GAGGGCAUAGCUCAAGCAGUAAAGUGCAUGCUUAACAAGCAGGAGGUCUUGGGUUCAAUUCCCAGUACCUCCU
rfam:Camelus ferus unplaced genomic scaffold scaffold2847, whole genome shotgun sequence.